UACGUAGGAUCCGAGCGUUGUCCGGAUUUACUGGGUGUAAAGGGUGCGCAGGCGGACUGGUAAGUCAGAGGUGAAAUCUCGUCGCUUAACGACGAAACUGCCUUUGAUACUAUCAGUCUUGAAUCCGGUAGAGAUCUGUGGAAUUCCGAGUGUAGCAGUGAAAUGUGUAGAUAUUCGGAAGAACACCAGUGGCGAAGGCAGCAGAUUGGGCCGGUAUUGACGCUCAGGCACGAAAGCGUGGGGAGCAAACAGG
rnacentral:rRNA from 1 species